rnacentral:rRNA from 1 species
GACGAACGCUGGCGGCGUGCCUAACACAUGCAAGUCGAACGGAAAGGCCCGGAUUUUGUGGGGUGCUCGAGAGGCGAGCGGGUGAGUAACACGUGAGGAACCUGCACCUAUCUGUGGGAUAACAUCAGGAAACAGGGGAUAAUACCGGGUAGGAUCUUUUGCAGCGCGGGGUGGGUUGGUAAGAUUCGGCGGUGCGGGAUGGACUCGAGGCUUAUCAGCUUGUUGGUGGGGUAGUGGCUGACCAAGGCUUUGACGGCUAGCCGGCCUGAGAGGGUGACCGGGCACAUUGGGCCUGAGAUACGGCCCAGAAUCCUACGUGAGGCAGCAGUGGAGAAUAUUACACAACGGCCGGGAGCCAGAUGUGAAGGUGUCGCGUGCGGAAUAACGGGCUACGAGUUGUAAACCGCUUUCGCCUUAGCUGAGGCGAGAUUGACGGUAAUGAGUCAAGAAGCCACGGCUAACUACGUG